CCAAAACUGAAGCCCUGAGCUGCUCUGCGGUGCUACCCUUUGUCCCUCCAGACUCUCUUUUCCUUCAUCUGUUUGUCAGUAAACCGAAGCCACCACAGUUUGUCAUUUGGAUGAUUUUCGAUGGAGAAGCUGCAGCUCCAGACUCUUGACAGCCGCACAACUUCCAAGGCAGUGGCCCCGCGGGCUGCAAACCCCACCUUCCUGCAGUUGCAGAGCCAGCUAAGAGGUGGGCAGCAUGCCAGGCCCCAUCAGCAGCCCCUGGAGCACACACCAAUUGCAGAUGCUCAGGAGACUCGGGGGAAGGAACGGGGUUUUCACCAGAACACCACAGGCAGGACCUCCCAGCAAAGGCCUCCAGAUGCUGUGAAAACCUAAGGCUCGUCCUCCUCCUGGCUUCCCAGGUUACCCAGCCACAACACACAGAUGCUGGGUCUGGGACGGCUCCACUGGAACCUGAGAUGACCUGAGGGUGUCCCAGUGAUAUAACAUAUGAGGAAAGCAGAAACAACUAAGAAAUAGACUCUGAAUGUGGCAGAUUCUAGAACUGAGAGGCGGAAGAGGAGCAGAUCUUCACUUUCCACACCUCAAGGUACUCAGCCAAUCACCUGUUCAUGCCUGAGAUUGUGAAUCCAAUAGGAAAGUACAAGGACAUGGAGAUUGUCAGAGCUGUUGUAUGAUGGUGGCAGCAGAGUCAAGAGUCCAGCGGAGAGGCAGCAAGCAUCCCAAGGAUCCCAUGACUGAGAACCAGCUUCUGUGGUUUAGAAGCAAGGCGCCAACUGGUAUGAGAAGCACAGACAGAUGGUGCCCUGGGAACACUGGCUGUCACGUGCUGGAGGAGGUUCCUCAGCAAGUCACCUUCCCUCCAUGGGCCUCUGUUGGAAAGAAGGCAUCAAGAUCAUUCCAGCUAUGAUUCCUGAGCUUUUAAUAUAUUCUUUCUGAUGAUUAAGAAAUAUAUCUGUCGAGCAUGGCAGCUUACGCCUGUAAUCCUAGCACUUUGUGAGGCCGAGGCGGGUGGAUCAUGAGGUCAGGAGUUCAAGACCAGCCUGACCAACAUGGUGAAACCUCGUGUCUACUAAAAAUACAAAAAUUAGCCGGGUGUUGUGGUGUGUGCUUGUAAUCCCAGCUACUCGGGAGGCUGAGGCAGGAGAAACACUUGAACCCGGGAGGCGGAGGUUGCAGUGAGCUGACAUCACGCCACUGCCCUCCAGCCUGGGUAACAGAGUGAGACUCCAUCUCAAAGAAAAAAAGAGAUAUAUCUGCAUGUGACAUGGAAAGAGGCUCAGAAUAUCAGACAUUUUACUACAGAUCUUGAAAACAGCUCUCCAAAACUAACUCCAGAUCCACCCUGGGGUUCUCAACUCCACAUGGUUUUCUAAAAUUGAGACCAAGACUAAGAUGAAGAGCUAUGCCUCGCCCUGAUGCUGCCAGGACUACUGUUCCCAUGACUACCUUGAGGUGCAGGCUGAGACCCUGGGUGUCUGUGGUGGCAGAGUACAGCAGAGGAGUUGGAGUCAAAGCAGUUUGGAUCCUCAUCCCAGCUGGGCCUCCUGAUGUUGGAGGGCCCUGGACAAAGGGUUUUCAUUUGCUGGGUCUCAGUUCUCCACAUGGACAACAAUGCACUGUAUGAGUUUUAAGGUUCUUUUCAGCUCUGACUCUCUGUGAGUCUGAAUCCAGUAGGAGCUAUUAUUUCCUUGAUUCCUCCUUACUGUUUUGUUCCCUUCUUCUCUGGUUUCUGUAUUAAAACUUUAUAUGUUUAUGAAUGGAUAAUCAAAAUGUGGUAUAUCCAUAUCAUGGAAUAUUAUACAGCCAUGAAAAGGAAUGAAGUACUGAUGCAUGCUACAACAUGGAUGAACCUUAAAAACACUAGGCUAAGUGAAAGAAGCCAGUCUCCAAAGACCAUAUGUGGUAUGAUUUCAUUGAUAUGAAAUGCUCAGAAUAGGCAGAUUUGUAGUGACAGAAAGUACAUUAGUGGCUGCCUAGGGCUAGGAAGAGAUGAGGAGUGACUCUCAAUGAGUACAGGAUUUCUUUUGGAAGUGAUGAAAAUGUUCAAAAAUUGAUUGCAGUGAUGGCUGUACAACUCUGUGAAUAUAUGAAAAACCCUUGAAUUAUACAAUUGAAAUUGGUGAAUUGUAUGGUAUAUGAAUUGUAUCUGAAUAAAGCUGUUAAAAAAACGGGGAAGAAGUUUAAGAGAAAUCCAAUAUAUUUUAAAGCUCUGCUCAUGGCAUUGGAGGUUAGCCUUGAAAAUUAA
rnacentral:lncRNA from 1 species